GACGAACGCUGGCGGCGUGCUUAACACAUGCAAGUCGAACGGAAAGGCCCUGCGUUUGUGGGGUGCUCGUGUGGCGAACGGGGGAGUAACACGUGUGUAACCUGCCCUUGACUUUGGGAUAACUUCAGGGAACUGGGGCUAAUACCGGAUAGGAGCUCCUGCUGCAUGGGGGGGAUUGGAAAGUUUCGGCGGUUGGGGAUGGACUCGAGGCUUAUCAGCUUGUUGGUGGGGUAGUUGCUUACCAGGGCUUUGACGGGUAGCCGGCCUGGGAGGGUGACCGGCCACAUUGGGCCUGCGAUACGGCCCAGACUCCUACGUGCGGCAGCGGUGGGGAAUAUUGCGGAGUGGGCGGACGCCUGAUGCGGCAACGCCCCGUGCGUGAUGACGGCUUUCGGGUUGUAAACCGCUUUCGCCUGUGACGAAGCGUGAGUGACGGUAAUGGGUAAAGAAGCACCGGCUAACUACGUG
rnacentral:rRNA from 1 species